rnacentral:lncRNA from 1 species
GUGAUUUAGUCCAAUUACUCACGUUCUGGACUCUGAUCCAGACAUGCACUUCAUCUAUCUGACUGUUGUUAACACUUGGAUGUUUCUCCAGUCCUCACUCUCUCUCUUUCUCUCUGUCCAUCAACUCCAUGACUCUUUCAGGACACCAUAUCCAUCAUCAACUUCGUCACUCUUGGUAAAAGCCAUCUUGCACCUCUUUCUUUCUCUCAUCAACACGGCUUCCAUGUUCUUCUACCUCUAACUUCACAUUAGGUCUGUUCUGUUUCUG